UUCCAGACUCCUACGGGAGGCAGCAGUAGGGAAUCUUCGGCAAUGGGGGGAACCCUGACCGAGCAACGCCGCGUGAGUGAAGAAGGUUUUCGGAUCGUAAAGCUCUGUUGUUAAGGAAGAACGAGUGUGAGAAUGGAAAGUUCAUACUGUGACGGUACUUAACCAGAAAGGGACGGCUAACUACGUGCCAGCAGCCGCGGUAAUACGUAGGUCCCGAGCGUUGUCCGGAUUUAUUGGGCGUAAAGCGAGCGCAGGCGGUUAGAUAAGUCUGAAGUUAAAGGCAGUGGCUCAACCAUUGUAGGCUUUGGAAACUGUUUAACUUGAGUGCAGAAGGGGAGAGUGGAAUUCCAUGUGUAGCGGUGAAAUGCGUAGAUAUAUGGAGGAACACCGGUGGCGAAAGCGGCUCUCUGGUCUGUAACUGACGCUGAGGCUCGAAAGCGUGGGGAGCGAACAGGAUUAGAUACCCUGGUAGUCCACGCCGUAAACGAUGAGUGCUAGGUGUUAGGUCCUUUCCGGGACUUAGUGCCGCAGCUAACGCAUUAAGCACUCCGCCUGGGGAGUACGACCGCAAGGUUGAAACUCAAAGGAAUUGACGGGGGCCCGCACAAG
rnacentral:rRNA from 1 species